rnacentral:lncRNA from 1 species
AUGGCAUCACCCCACACACAGAACAGCGUGGCCGACAGCGCUUCAGAAGCCAAAUGCAGAAAAACGGCUCCGGGGCUCGAUCCGAGGCUGCGGGAGGCCGCCCCACCGGGCCCGCGCAGUAUGCGGCGCAUGCGCACUAAGCCGGGCCACGCCACCCCCUGUGCGCUCACGCGCACCCCUCGAGGCCUAGCGCUCCGCCCCUCCCCCGCCGUGCGUCACAGAGCCCGAGUUUCUCCCUCCUCCGGGAUUGGCUGCGGCGGAGCUGACCCGCCCUCUGCCGCCAGGCCCCUCAGGGGCCCUCUGGGAGAUCGCCUCCAGGUGGGCAUCGCGGCGGACUGCGGAGACGGCGCUCCCGGAGCCCGGCUCGGUCAUCCACUCUGCAGCGCUGGUGUGAGAAGAAUGCGUCCUGAGGCCAGUCCCAGAAGCUCCUCUGUUUCUCGCGGCCAGAGUCUACUGGUUUGUGCAAGCCCGGAGGUUUGGGCUGGGGAGGCGAGCGCGGCUGUUGCUGUGUUCACCUUGGGGUCCUCCCCAGGGCGCAGAUCUGGGGUCAGCUCCCCUUCUCCUUUCAACAGUUGGAGGCCGGCGCCGCGGCUCACUAGGCUAAUCCUCCGCCUUGUGGCGCCGGCACACCGGGUUCUAGUCCCGGUCGGGGCGCCGGAUUCUGUCUUGGUUGCCCCUCUUCCAGGCCAGCCCUCUGCUGUGGCCAGGGAGUGCAGUGGAGGAUGGCCCAAUUCCUUGGGCCCUGCACCCCAUGGGAGACCAGGGGAAGCACCUGGCUCCUGCCUUCGGAUCAGCGCGGUGCGCCGGCCGCAGCGCGCCAGCCGUGGCGGCCAUUGGAGGGUGAACCAACGGCAAAAAGGAAGACCUUUCUCUCUGUCUCUCUCUCUCACUGUCCACUCUGCCUGUCAAAAAAAAAAAAAAAAAAAAAAAAAAAAAAAAAAACAGUUGGGAAAGAGAACUAGGAUUUCUCCUCGAGACUACCCACUGAUUUCAGCGCGGGGCUCGAAGAACCCCUGCCGCCCAGGUCUUUAA